CCUAAUACAUGCAAGUCGAACGCACAGCGAAAGGUGCUUGCACCUUUCAAGUGAGUGGCGAACGGGUGAGUAACACGUGGACAACCUGCCUCAAGGCUGGGGAUAACAUUUGGAAACAGAUGCUAAUACCGAAUAAAACUUAGUGUCGCAUGACACAAAGUUAAAAGGCGCUUCGGCGUCACCUAGAGAUGGAUCCGCGGUGCAUUAGUUAGUUGGUGGGGUAAAGGCCUACCAAGACAAUGAUGCAUAGCCGAGUUGAGAGACUGAUCGGCCACAUUGGGACUGAGACACGGCCCAAACUCCUACGGGAGGCUGCAGUAGGGAAUCUUCCACAAUGGGCGAAAGCCUGAUGGAGCAACGCCGCGUGUGUGAUGAAGGCUUUCGGGUCGUAAAGCACUGUUGUAUGGGAAGAACAGCUAGAAUAGGAAAUGAUUUUAGUUUGACGGUACCAUACCAGAAAGGGACGGCUAAAUACGUGCCAGCAGCCGCGGUAAUACGUAUGUCCCGAGCGUUAUCCGGAUUUAUUGGGCGUAAAGCGAGCGCAGACGGUUUAUUAAGUCUGAUGUGAAAGCCCGGAGCUCAACUCCGGAAUGGCAUUGGAAACUGGUUAACUUGAGUGCAGUAGAGGUAAGUGGAACUCCAUGUGUAGCGGUGGAAUGCGUAGAUAUAUGGAAGAACACCAGUGGCGAAGGCGGCUUACUGGACUGCAACUGACGUUGAGGCUCGAAAGUGUGGGUAGCAAACAGGAUUAGAUACCCUGGUAGUCCACACCGUAAACGAUGAACACUAGGUGUUUAGGAGGUUUCCGCCUCUUAGUGCCGAAGCUAACGCAUUAAGUGUUCCGCCUGGGGAGUACGACCGCAAGGUUGAAACUCAAAGGAAUUGACGGGGACCCGCACAAGCGGUGGAGCAUGUGGUUUAAUUCGAAGCAACGCGAAGAACCUUACCAGGUCUUGACAUCCUUUGAAGCUUUUAAAGAUAGAAGUGUUCUCUUCGGAGACAAAGUGACAGGUGGUGCAUGGUCGUCGUCAGCUCGUGUCGUGAAAUGUUUGGGUUAAGUCCCGCAACGAGCGCAACCC
rnacentral:rRNA from 1 species